UACGGAGGGGGCAAGCGUUGUCCGGAAUCAUUGGGCGUAAAGCGCGCGUAGGCGGUCCGGUAAGUCCGCUGUGAAAGUCGGGGGCUUAACCCUCGGAUGCCGGUGGAUACUGUCGGGCUUGAGCACGGAAGAGGCGAGUGGAAUUCCUGGUGUAGCGGUGAAAUGCGCAGAUAUCAGGAGGAACACCGAUUGCGAAGGCAGCUCGCUGGGACGUUACUGACGCUGAGACGCGAAAGCGUGGGGAGCAAACAGG
rnacentral:rRNA from 1 species